rnacentral:rRNA from 1 species
CACGUAGUUAGCCGUGGCUUUCUGGUUAGAUACCGUCACUCCGCUAACAGUUACUCUAGCGGUCGUUCUUCUCUAACAACAGUGCUUUACGAUCCGAAGACCUUCUUCACACACGCGGCGUUGCUCCGUCAGGCUUGCGCCCAUUGCGGAAGAUUCCCUACUGCUGCCUCCCGUAGGAGUUUGGGCCGUGUCUCAGUCCCAAUGUGGCCGAUCACCCUCUCAGGUCGGCUAUGCAUCAUUGCCAUGGUAGGCCGUUACCCCACCAUCUAGCUAAUGCACCGCGGAGCCAUCCUUUUGUGACAGCCGAAGCCGUCUUUCCUUCGUUGAUCAUGCGAUCUGCGAUUCUAUGCGGUAUUAGUCAUCGUUUCCAAUGGUUAUCCCCCGCAAAAGGGUAGGUUCUCCACGUGUUACUCACCCGUGCGCCACUAACUUUGCCGGGAACAAGUUCCUAGCUCCGUUCGUUCGACUUGCAUGUAUUAGGCACGCCGCCAGCGUCG